AGUUUGCAUGUUCUCCCCAUGUCGUCGUGGGGUUUCCCCCCACAGUCCAAAAACAUGCUGAGGCUAACUGGAGUUGCUAAAUUGCCCGUAGGAGUGCAUGUGUGAGUGAAUGGUGUGUGAGUGUGCCCUGUGAUGGGCUGGCCCCCCAUCCUGGGUUGUUCCCUGCCUCGUGCCCAUUGCUUCCGGGAUAGGCUCCGGACCCCCCGCGACCCAGUCGGAUAAGCGGUUUGGAAAAUGGAUGGAUGGAUGGAUGGAUAUUUUUAUUGUUGAUUCCUAUGUUGUCCCAACAUGGCUGCCUCCCACAAGCUGUGACCCAAUGGCCUCCUUACCUAGGGAUUCUGGUACCAAGGACAUACUUUUCAUUCCCAUCUGGAUUCCUGGGCAUUUUGUACUUUGUGUUUUGAAGCCGACACAGAGAGAGAUAUUUUUCCUUGACUCCAUGUACCAUAAAAAAAGAUUUGGAUUUUCUGCUGUCCAGUACAUGGAACUGUUGAGGUUAAAGCUUGAGUUUAAAGGAGUUUAAGUUCCUUGGUCCAGUUCCAGGAUCAUUAAUAUGACCACGUUCUACUGGUCAUUUUCUGCAUGUAAGUUCCAAAAAACAGGUCACGUUCUUUGACCUGAUUACUAGGCUGGAUUAUAUUUGAUUUCUGCAAUGCUUGCUUGCUCCAUAUAAAACAUGAUAUGUACAUGAUUCAUGAUGUGUGACAUCAUUACCAACAAAUAUUGUGGGCAGCAGUGUCUCAUUCCAAGCACGAAAUAAAACUUUUUGUAGUUUUAUUUAAACAAUUAUGUAGUAAUUGUAAUUAUUUGUGCUAACUGCUGGUUCCUUAGACUGCUAUAACAACUUCUCAAACAGCCCCCUGCUGCACUUAGCUUUUAAUCCUCCACAUGAACUAAACUAAUUGUGCAAUUAUGUACAUGUGGCACCCAGGAGUAUUUGUUUAUAGAAAGGCAGCCCUUCAACAACGGUUCAGUUAAUUAUUUUGUUGUAUUUUGUGUUUUCAUUGUUUUUGCUGUGUGGCACACCCUCACACUGGCUUGCAUGAACAGUAACCUCUGGUGCUAUACCCUUUUUGCGCCAGAGGGGGCAGUAAUGGCGCCUGGGAGACAGAGAGACUGACUGCGAACCGUAGAAGCAGCUCAGAUCGAGCGCGAGCUACGUUCAGCAGUCAGUACGGCGCAGCCUUUAUGUUUGAUUAUUAUUUUCUGUGAUUACAGUUUACAGUGUGGAAUACCCAGUCCAGCAGAGAGCAGCUUCACUUCUGAAUCCUGUAGGUCAUUGUCACUCAUGUCCAGCUCUCUCAGAUGUGAGUGGUUUGAUCUGAGAACUGAAGCCAGCGCCUCACAGCAUUCCUCUGUGAGUUCACACCGGUUCACCUUUAGGAAAAUGAAAGACUUUUAAGAUUCAAGAUUCUUUAUUUGUGACAUGCAUAGUUUUACAGGAACAACAUGCAGUGAAAUGUAUCCUGAACUGCUCUUUGACUGUGCAACAUUAGAAUAAUUAAAUUUUAAAACCACUUUUUACAUUGGUGCACUGUAUAUUACAUCACAGUGAGCCGUUACAUUCAUCACAGAAGAGAUUCUUUUAAACAAUGAAUUUAUUGUACAGCUUUUAAGUGGCACAUUAACACUCACCUCAGUUUUGACUGGAACAUUAUAUUUUGUUAAACUCAGCAUAUUUAAAAUUGCAACACAACCAUCACUUUUCUUUGUCUAUUAGCUGCUAACCAACACAGUGCUAACC